ACGCUCUGGCUUCUCUACAGCUUGAAUUUUAUCUUUCGCCUUUUACUAAAGUUUUCCGUGGAGAGGAGCAUUUACGAGUUGUACAUCCAAUUUUUGGACAGCCCUUCCCAUCAGGGAGA